GCGGUGAUGACUUUCCACUGUUUGCACGCGUUAGACUGCUGAUGCGGAUGAUGCAAUCGGAGUCUGAGC